GACACGGACGCAGCCAAUCAGGAAACCGGGGGAAACACAGCGACAGCCAAUCACACGAGUCUGGAGACUCAACCGUUAAACUCCACCCAACCUCAAAUACAACUGGACCAGAGCAGGGACGGCACACUUGUUUUGCAGGAGACCCUGUCCCCACUCUGAAGAGUCCUGAUGAGAUGGCGCAUGUGCAGUUGGGGCUGGUCCAUGCCGAGCCUGGAGCUGGUUUUGAAGUUUUGGAUCCUCUGAUUCCGCUCCGGACACAGGAACAGAAGCUCUGGGAUGGCCGGGAUGUUUUGUCGAAGUGUUACCACACUGCUAACACCGACCUCUGCUGCGCUGCUAAAGGGCUUUCCCCCACGGGACAUUAUUAAAAUGCGUUAAUUAAUUAAACAAGCCUGCACAUUCCCUGCUGCACCUUGCACACUGAGUCCGUAAUUGUAUGCAAAUUAUUUUUAACGUACGUUACAAAUGACAUCGACCAACUUGGGGAAGAGACGUGGAUUCUUGCAGUUCCCUGAACAAAACAGGAAAAUGAAUUGCGUGCGUCGCCAAACAAAAAUUACUUUGAUAAAAUCCGACAAAGAUAACCAAGACUUUCAGAGAGAUCGGGGCGAGGGAGCGUAACCCGAGAGCGAUCGGAGCGAGAGCGAUCGGAGCGAGAGCUCUCCGGGCUUAAUGGUCACCAUAGCAGUACAUGAGAGUGACGGCACUGCUGGCUCCACACACAGUAGAAGGUAAUUUUAUGGUUUAGUGUUGUUGGAAGCUCGUUGCUAGCUUCCCAACUUUAUUUUGGAUCUAUUUAUUACAGGAGCGAGUGCUUGAAAUGAAAAUAAUGGUCUCUGAUGUUUGUACUACUGAAUGCAGUUGUGUAAUAUCAUGGUUUAUCAUGCAUUGUGUAACAUUAUUUUAGCUCGAGUAGAAACUUAAUAAUUAGCAAAUGUUUUAACUUCCACCUUUUCGUGCCCUAAAGAAAGUGGUUUCCGAUCGGCGUGAUGCUGUACCCACUCCGCUCUCCACAGUGCCCAUGAUCGGGGGU